AUUGAACGCUGGCGGAAUGCUUUACACAUGCAAGUCGAGCGGCAGCGCGGGGGCAACCCUGGCGGCGAGCGGCGAACGGGUGAGUAACAUAUCGGAACGUACCCAGUCGUGGGGGAUAACUAUCCGAAAGGAUAGCUAAUACCGCAUACGCCCCAAGGGGGAAAGCGGGGGAUCUUCGGACCUCGUGCUAUAGGAGGAGCCUGCGUCGGAUUAGCUAGUUGGUGAGGUAAAGGCUCACCAAGGCGACGAUCCGUAGCUGGUCUGAGAGGAUGAUCAGCCACACCGGAACUGAGACACGGUCCGGACUCCUACGGGAGGCAGCAGUGGGGAAUAUUGCGCAAUGGGCGAAAGCCUGACGCAGCCAUACCGCGUGUGUGAAGAAGGCCUCGG
rnacentral:rRNA from 1 species